rnacentral:lncRNA from 1 species
GUUCUCUAAUGUGAAAUCUUUUGAGAAAAGGUAGCAAAAACAUCACUUGCAUUUACUUGAACCCUUAGUACUUAUUCCCCAAGUAGUGUCUAAAACAGCCUUUUGCAGUUGUGAAAUUAAGUGGCAAUACUGUAUUGAGCUAAGUGAAAAAAAGAAGAUUUAGGAAUAAAUUGUCAAGGCAAGUUCUAUUAAAAGCUCUCUGUAAUAGAUGCCACGGAUUUCUUGUUCAGAUAACCUUAGCGGUUUUGGUUGCACAUGCAAGAGAUAGUACUUGACAGGUAAUAUUGAUUUUUUUUUUUUAUAACUUCAGAAAAUACUGUCUUAAUGCCAUUGGAGAGCUCUUUAGGUAUAUUUAUAUACACACAAAAUGAAGGAAUUUUUUCUUGGAUUAAUAAAUGACCUCUAGCAUCUUUCUAGAAAACAUUUUAGUGACUAAAUUCUCUUUUUCCGUCAAUGGAUUUUCAUUAGUGACUACACACACACAGAAAAAUAUAUAUGUUCAGAUUGGUUUUUUUCUUUGGAUAAAACCCAAAGGAACUAUAGAAGUUAAAUAAAAAACUCUGUAAAUAAGUUUCAUUAAAUGUGAAUAU